rnacentral:rRNA from 1 species
ACAACCGAGGUGCAAAGGCUGUCGCUGACCCUCAAAGGUUGUGCACGCCCGAGCGCUCUCACACAAUCCAUCUCACCUUUGUGCAUCACCGCGUGGGUCCCCUUUGCGGGAGGGCUCGCGUUUUCACAUAAUAACUCGAUACAGUGUAGAAUGUUUCUUUUGCGGUCACACGCAAUCAAUACAACUUUCAACAACGGAUCUCUUGGCUCUCGCAUCGAUGAAGAACGCAGCGAAAUGCGAUACGUAAUGUGAAUUGCAGAAUUCAGUGAAUCAUCGAAUCUUUGAACGCACCUUGCGCCCCUUGGCACUCCGAGGGGCACACCCGUUUGAGUGUCGUGAAUUCUUCAAAACCCUUUUUUCUUCGAACCAUCGUGGUCGGGAAAAGGAUUUUUGGACUUGGAGGUUUAAUGCUCGCCCUUUCUUUUGAAAGCGAGCUCCUCUCAAAUGAAUUAGUGNGGUCCGCUUUGCUGAUCCUUGACGUGAUAAAAUGUUUCUACGUUUUGGGUUUAGCACUGUCGCUUGNAUGCCUGCUCCUAACCCGUCUCAUUGACAAUGAUGGUGCUCUGGUCACUGCCGUCUACAUCGGCGGGAGGCUGGACCCACAAAAAGAAAAACCUUGA